ACGCUCGACACCUACGGGAGCAGCAGUGGGGAAUAUUGGGCAAUGGAGGCAACUCUGACCCAGCAACGCCGCGUGAAUGAUGAAGGUCUUCGGAUUGUAAAGUUCUGUGACGGGGGACGAACACAAUGACGGUACCCCGAUAGCAAGCCACGGCUAACUACGUGCCGCAGCCGCGGUAAUCUGAGCGGGCUGGCAAGGC
rnacentral:rRNA from 1 species